ACGUAGGGCGCAAGCGUUGUCCGGAUUCACUGGGUGUAAAGGGUGCGUAGGCGGGAGAGUAAGUCCGCGGUGAAAUCUCACAGCUCAACUGUGAAACUGCCGUUGAUACUGCUUUUCUUGAGUUCGGGAGAGGUUGAUGGAAUUCCAGGUGUAGCGGUGAAAUGCGUAGAUAUCUGGAAGAACACCAGUGGCGAAGGCGGUCAACUGGCCCGUAACUGACGCUGAGGCACGAAAGCGUGGGUAGCGAACAGGA
rnacentral:rRNA from 1 species